GAUGAACGCUGGCGGCGUGCUUAACACAUGCAAGUCGAACGAAGCACCUUAUUCUGAUUUCUUCGGAAUGAAAAAUUUGGUGACUGAGUGGCGGACGGGUGAGUAACGCGUGGGUAACCUGCCUCAUACAGGGGGAUAGCAGUUAGAAAUGACUGCUAAUACCGCAUAAGACCACAGCACCGCAUGGUGCAGGGGUAAAAACUCCGGUGGUAUGAGAUGGACCCGCGUCUGAUUAGGUAGUUGGUGGGGUAACGGCCUACCAAGCCGACGAUCAGUAGCCGACCUGGGAGGGUGACCGGCCACAUUGGGACUGAGACACGGCCCAAACUCCUACGGGAGGCAGCAGUGAGGAAUAUUGCACAAUGGGGGAAACCCUGAUGCAGCGACGCCGCGUGAGUGAUGAAGUAUUUCGGUAUGUAAAGCUCUAUCAGCAGGGAAGAAAAUGACGGUACCUGACUAAGAAGCACCGGCUAAAUACGUGCCAGCCGCCGCGGUAA
rnacentral:rRNA from 1 species